CCGGCGUAAUUACACCUGGAAGAUUUCAUUAUAACUUGACCACCUUGAGCCAACUCUAUCCCUAAACCUAAUUGAUUUUUUUAAAGUUUUUUAAUGAUGUAGGGGGUCAAGAUUCAUUUUUUCCCCAUAUAGACAUCUAGCGGACCCAACACCUUUUAUUGAAAAGGCCUGCCUUUUCACUACAUUGUUUCUAAAUUUUCUUUUCUAUUACAUUGUUUAUUUGUGUCAACACUAAACUGUGUUCAUUAUUACAGCUUUGAAAUAUGUUGGCAUGGUCGUUGAAAAGUGAAAUUCAUAAUUCUUAGUGACAGGUCCUAAGCUCUGGGUGCUAGGCAGAGGAAAAAGACAUUAAAACUAAUAAAUUUACUUUUUCAGGUAUAGAAAGUAGUGAUAGUUCAUCAGAGUUUUAAAAAUGUGAACAUAAAGCCCUUUCCUUUUGCCACAGGGAUUUGAGCAUGGGAGUUCCUAAUGGGAUUGGAUGGGGAAAAUAUGAGAUAUUUCCUUGAAGUAAAUUAACAGUUUCUAAUUUUAUGUGGUAUUUUGGAUUUCCAUUGACUCAGUGGUUUCUAGCCAUAUUACUAGUCAUCUUCGUUUAAAGUUUUCCAUAAAGUCUUCCUAAAAUUACUGUCUUAUAUAAAUGCAUGUGAAUAUUUUCUCUUGUUUUUAGGUGAGACUGCCUGUUUCCCUCUUCCUUUAGUAGGUAAUGAGAGACCUCUGAGGGUUUUUCUAAUUCUUUAAAUAUUAUAGUCAGUUAUCUUGUUCAAUGAUAAUAGUGUAUAGAUGAGGCCAGAUGGUGCCAGAACUGGGGUUUGUAUCUUUGUUUGACUUUUUUAAUACUCCCACCUUUUUUUCUAAAGAGAUUUUUCUAACUCAUUUCCCAGUAAUCCAUCUCUUGUGUGCAAUUCUGAGCUAGUUAAAUUCAGAGUUGCCUUUUUAAAAAUAAUCUCUGCCAGCUCAGCUUUCCUGAAAUUGGGAUUUUAAUUGACAGAGAGGAGCAGUACCAAAAAGGCAGAGGAACUGUUUUUAGUAGCAGUAAAGACAUGCAUCAUUUGUUUUUUCAUGAGAAGCAAAUUAUAGUCAAAGGAAAACAUAUUUAACUUAGUCAUUUUAUGUGUACCAAUAAGAAUCAAUUGCUUGAGAAAGUCAAAUAGGAAAUGAAUAAGUUUUGUAUCCGUCUAAAUUCAUAUACUGAAAGGAAGUGGAAGGUUGUUGAGGCAUUGCAUAGCAGAAAACAAACAUUUUCCUCCAUCCUUCAGAAACCUGAAAGUAGUCCUUCAGCUGCAGUAUACUACAAAUUCACCCUCUUACAUAUGAGCAAUGUAACUCAUAUGGUAAUAUUUCCAUUCUGUUGUCUCUUAAAUCCUAGAAUGGAAUAAUGCCAUUUUUAAGCAGAGCGGCCAUCAAGACUAAUUCUCCAUGAUAUUGUCUCUAAAAUGACCUGAAAUGAAUUUCCUGAAGUUUGAAAACAGCAGCUUUUAGAAUAGAAGCUCUUAGACAUGGUCCCCAACGCCCAGACCAUGAAUGGGUACCGGUCUAUGGCCUGUUAGGAACCCAGCCACACAGCAAGAGAAAAAAAGCCCCACAGAUGAAGAUUCCCUGUGUUGUGUCUUGAACUGUCCUCAAACCACACGAAGCACAUGGGCAAAUUUUGUUUGAAGAAGUCUAUUUCUGAAGUGUGAUUUGAUAGUAUAGAUGCAGACACACUAUUCAUAUCCUUGCCAUCUCUGAAGAGCACAUGUGGUCUAAUCAGGGAGACUGGUAUAGUUCUCUACUCUCCUGGAUUGCAGUAAGUCAUCAUUGGUCACAUGGUUGCCAAUUGCCUCCCAAAACAAACCCAUCUUUGAAUACACCAUCUUUGGGGCCACCGCUGGGAUUUUAUUAUAUUUUCUGCUGAGACAUGGUACAUUCUAGUAAUAGGAACUGCUUUGUAUUGAGUGUAGAAAUUUAAAUUAUUCUAUUAAUAUGCCAUUAAGUCUUAUUUGGUUGAGCAAGUCAGUCACUUUACAAUAACUGCAUCAGCAUGUGUUCUUUUCAUGGAUCUAAUAAAAUGCAUUUAGACUGAAAUUAGAUCCCUGAAAUGAGCCAUUUUGCUCUUAGACUUCACCUCAACCAGUCUUGCCAAAUCUGUGUCAUUAGCCAGAAAUGCCAGUUGAUGGCUUGGCAGAAACUCUACACUGCCAUUCAAAUGAAAGUACAUUAAUGUCUCAAAGGUUGCCAUCUUGAUUUAGAAUAUGGAUGCUGAGGAUUGUGAUAGUGAAGGAAAGCACUUUUUUCUAAAAAGAAUAUUUUCCCUGUAUACACUGGGUUUCAAGAAUAUCAACAAAAUAUUAAAAUAUGAAGAAAUUAUGUCAUCCAGUUAGAUGUUUCCCAACGUUUUCUAGUAUGAAGACCAUUUUUUAAUGUCUUCAUGAACACCUACAUGAUGGUAGUCAUGCUUUUAGCAUCUUUUGAUUGGGCCAAAUAUAUAAUUUGUAUAAGUUCGAGACAAGUAAAUUUGCAUUUUCUUAAUUAUAGCACACUUAAAUAUGUUUGGAAAAUGUCAUUACAUGUGUUUACAGGUCUUAUUUAAUACAGUCAACAAACAAUACUUGGUUCAUGUGAACUUAUGGACCCUUUACAAAAACUCCAAAGGUUGGAAGUUGCUGAACUGUACCCUCCAAUCCCUUCACUUUGCAGAGAAGAAAAAUCAGGGUCCAGAGAGAUGCAGUCAUUGGUCCAAGGUUUUGUGGUUACUGGAAGAACUAGACUGCAUUUUAUGUCUUCUGGGUUUCCACUCCUACAGGCUCCCCAAGGAGGAUUAGGAAAAGAUGCCCAAACACUUGUUUCAUUUAGGAAAUUAACAGCAGUGGAUGUCAAUGGAAGAUGCUGACAUUUUUUUAAAGCACAGGACAGAUGGGACCCCAAUGUGAAAGCCGAAACUGGCAGUGCCUGGCACAUAUUUUUCAAUAAAUAGAGCAGACAGAAGCAUAACUUCUUUCCCAUAUCUAACCCUCUACUUUCGUAAGCAUUCUAGUUCUUUUAAACAUGAAACUCUCAUUGUCCUUGUUUACUCAAGUUGUCCAAUUGAAAGAUAAUUAUUUAUGGUAGUUCAAUUCUCACUCCCCUCUACCCUCCCCACCCCUAUAGCUUUCUGUAAUACCUGUUUAAAGCGCUGACCUUCGGUUCCUGUGGACCAUCCCUGUGGCAGGAAGUGGGCACAAGUAGAUGUCCUCUUUACCAGUCUGUCCUAAGUAAAGUAAUAUUGAUAUGAACAAUUACAUAAAUUUUUCCUUGGUCUUUUUUUUCCCUCGUGUAAUAGGAGUUAUCUCUAAGCUAAUUAAGAUAGUGCAUAUUCCAAAACAAAAUUGUAUCUAUAUCAUAAGUAUAAACUAUCCUGCAGCACGAACACCCAUUUCACAAACACAUUUGCAUCUUCCCCACCUCCAUGAAAUUAUUACUUGAGUCCCACAGAACUCACUUUUGUGGCAGAGCCAACGUAAAUUUCUAAGGAAAAGUGAAAUUUGUUGCAUGUAUUAAAAGAAAAACUUCAGACAAAUAUAACAGUUUAUUUGAACAAAGAAUGAUUGAUGAAUUGGACAGCACUCAGAACCAGAAGAGGUUCAGAAAGCUACACCCAGGACUGUGAGCAGUGAGCUUUUAUAGGCUGGACACAGAAGCAAAGUAGAGCAAUCACCUGAUUGGCUACAGCUAGGCAUCUGCCUUAUCUGGGCAUGGUUUGAUGAGCCGACUGCCGGUGAUUGGCUGAAACAGCUGUUUGUUAUACUCCUAAGACAGGUUGCAGUUUGUUAAGUAGGAUCUCAAAGUAUGAAAACGACCUCAGGCUAAUGGCCUUAUGCUUAUUUAAACACAUGAAGAGUAGGUUUGUUAGGCAAACUGCAUUUCAGAUGGCGCUUUCCUGGAGUCAGCACUCUUUCAGACAAGUCAAAGUGAUACUCCUGAUUUUUCCCAAAGGAAGGAGGAAAGAACAGACCUCUGGCUGCCUAAAGAGACACUGGGCAUUUAGAUACUUCUGCUCUUAGUUUCCUAAUGGUUAUUUUUAAGUUGAUAGUGUUCAUGUAUAAAGAAAGAAAUCUUAAGUCUAUAUGAGAAUGAGGCCCUUACAUUUGUUUAUAGAAAAAUUGUGGCUGCUUGCAACCCAUACCGUUUACUUAAUAGGAAGGUUAAGAGAAAUGGAUUGAGUAUCAUGAGGCUAAAGUGAGCCAAUGUUAGCUACUUCUGAUAGGCAAAAUCAUGGUGGGAUUUUGCAGCUGCUGAGAUUUGAGAGCCCUAACAUCUUUAAUUUUUUAGGGAGAACAUUUUAGAGUAGAUUGGUUGUUCUUUCUAGAGUUGGCUUCAUUAGAUCUUAAUCCUGGUUUAUAAACACACACACACACACACCCCCCCAGAGCUUUUGUAGUAUGCACUUCUGUAGAAGCUUAUUUUUCAAGGACAAUUCUUAAUGCUCACUUUGCCCCGUUCUUCUUGGUUGUCUCAACCUCUUUAAUCUCUCUUUUCUCUCCACCCCCCAACCUUCUCAGGACGGAUGCAAAGCAGGAACUCAAAUAAUUGGCCUUGGUGUUUGGCCCUGAAGCAGUCAGAUAUGUGAGGCGAGUUGCUCACAAUUUUCUCAUGAAAAAUUAGUAACUCAAAAUUAAAUUGAUAAAAAUUAAAAUGACACACAGUAAAAUGUAUCACAGACGAAAAUUUGAUUGAAGAAUGACUGUAUGAAAACUACAACUAUACCUUCCGCCUUGUCUUCUGAAGCAACUCUGGAGUUCUGCUUUCUUCCACCUGACAGUAGCAUUUUUUCCUCCCACAAGAAGCAUCAGCUUCAUACCCUCCAAUUCUCUGCUCAUUUAUGGUAUGAAUCCUGGCCCCAGCUGGCCUGCAUCAAGGCAAUUGGUGUCCCUUCUAAAAUGCAGCCUCCAGAACGAAACACAAUGCUCAUCAGGGUGACAACCUGAAGUUCCUCACUUCUGGAAGAGCCAACAUGUUUGAAGCCAUUUCCAGUUAGAGAAAAACAGAAACACAAGCUAUUGCAGGGGAGUAAAAUGAUGAGAAAUAAAAUCUACAAAAAUGAUACACUUUCAGAAAAUGCCUAAAAAAGGCAUGUCUGUAUUAUGCCUUUGGGGAUAGAUUUGGUUGCUGAGAAGUGUAUUCUGAAUAACAUGUGGUUUCUUGUUUCUUUAACCAGGCUAUUACUUUCUCUAUUGCUUUCCUCUUGUUUUCUAGACUCUCUAAUAAAAUUCUGUUACAGAGGAAAAUUAGAAUAAUAUGACCAGAUAUGUUUUUUACAAACAAAAAUGGCGAAAAGUUGAAAAUAUUUUUUCAACGACUGGAGUUUCAACUGGGAGAGCAGUGGUGUGAGCAUCUUAAGCAUGUCCUUCAGCACUUGGUGUGAAUGACAGCUGAUAGAGGUGAGGUAGACUGGCAAACUGCUGCCUGGGUCCCAGAUGGCUUUGAACCUACACAGCUGGUGCUUUGGACCAUAAAGAGAAAUAAUUGCAUAUGCAGAGUUUUACAUGUGUUUCAUUUAAGAUUUGUAAGAGAGGAUAGUUUACUGUUCCCUUUUAAACUCUUGGGGUUCAGCUGCCUACUAUAUAAAGUCUUACUCCUAUUUCUGGCACUUUUUCAACAUGGGAAGCCUUAUUUGCAUUUAAAUGUUAUAUACAGCGGGGGAGGGGGGAGGGGGAGGGGACCUUUCCUGACUUAGCAGUACUGUUUCUAAGAUUUCCAUGUGCUUGUGACUGACGGAUGGAUAUUUAAAACAAUCAAAUGUAUUUUAUUCUGUAAAACUAUAUAUAUGAUAGUCUCUUGAGACUAAGCUGUUAUUUAAAAUAAAAAGUGUCCAAAA